ACCAUUCAAAGGGGAGUUGAGUAACAAUGGCUUCUCUGUUGAUACUGUGUAUCACAACGAUGUGCGGUUUUUGUUUGCUGUGACCAGAAGCAGGAUGUGCUGAUAAAUGAUCAAGCUGGCCUACCAAGCAGCGUUAAUGGAAGCAUUCCUUCUGUUAUGGAACUCAGAAGGAGUUCAAGCUCCUGCUUGGAGUGUGUUAAGGACUGUGUCUAUAUCUCCAGCAUGGCUGUCGUCAAUGGGCGGCUUGACCUGGCUCUCUGUCCACGGUGGCUCACAGAUGUUUCAGCUGGACAGCUGUCAACUGCAAGCUUAGCUAGGACAUGGCCAGAGCUCCUACCUUCAGCCUCUCUGACAUGGCAGCUUCUGCUGGUCACCAGAUUUGGUUGCUACCAAGGCUGCUGCUCUAAGACCAUCAUGGCUGUUGUUGAUCUCAUCUAGAAGCUAUGUAGCAUUAUGUUCUUCUGGUCACAAGUGUGUCACUAAGCCUGGCCAAAACUAAAGAAGAGGGUAAACUUCACUGGCCAAUGGGAAGACUGGCACGGGAACGCAAGGCCUUUUCAAAAAUUGCUUAGGUGGGGCUAGAGAGACAACGCAGUCCUUAAGAGUACUUCCUAUUCUUCUUAACCCAGCUCUAGGAGAACUAAUGCCCUCUUCUGGUCUCUGUGGGGCACCUGCAUGCAUGUGUUCAUGCUACAUAUAUGUGUGUGUACAUAUACAUAUAUGUGCAUAUACACAUAACUAAAGCAAAAAUAUUCUAGUAAUACCUUUAUACUUCUUACAAGUUUUAAUUGAAAACAAAAGAACUUUUCCUUUUUCCUCUUUGCUUGUGUUUUUGCAGCUCUCUUUUCUAUUUUUUCAACUUUAUUAGUUUUCUAUUUUGUGUGUGUGUGCACACAUUGUAUGCUGUGCAUGUGGAGGUCAGAGGAUAACUCAAAGGAGUUGGUUCUCUACUCUGACCAUGUGUAUCCUACGGAUCGAAUUUAGGCCAUCCGACUUGAAGGCAAGCAUCUUCACCCACAGCCAUCUUGCUGGCCCGUCCUUUCUCCUUUUACUGUUGGCAUCUUCCACAUGCUGCCUGGAUACCUCCUUUUAGGGGACUACAGAGUUCAUUUGGUACAUUUUCUACUUCCCAUACUGCAGGCGACACUUUUGUGGAGCUUUCUCCCACUGUAUAACAAAGAUCUCCUUUGCCUACAAUUCUUGUAAUGUUUCUCUGGCUUUCCCAGAAGCUCUCACUGAUAACCACCCCGACUGCUAUCAGAUUUCAGUUCUCUCAGCCUUUGCCUGCAGUCUGAUCUCAAAGAUGACACCAUGUGCUUUCAUUUUUUUUUUUUUAUUAUAGCAACCCCUCAUCUGCAGAUACCAAAAUUCACUUUGGUUAUUAUCACCAUGUGAAAAUUUUUCUCUAAGUGUCCUGGCUUAAAACAACCAUUUUAUUUUGCUGGUAAUUUUGAGCUUCAGAAAUUUGAAAAGGGCUCAGCUGAGCCUCUCUCCAUGGAGGUCAUUCAUGCAGUAGAGGCAAGAUGUCAGCUGGGGCUGCAAAUACCAACUGAGUUGACGGAACUGGCAGUGUGAGAUGGCCCACUCCCACAGUCAGGAUUUGACCCUAGCCGUCAGCUACGAGCCUGGCUGUCCAGCACUCUGCUGGCAUGCGGACUCUGUGGCUAGGCAGUCUCAGGACAGACAGCCUUCCUCUGCAGUGCUCAUAUCCCCUGAAACUAAGGUCCCAAAAGAACAGACUGAGACUUGGUGACAUUUUCUGGUCUGCACUUGAAACGUAAACAGCGUCUCUUUGCUGUGUGGUAUUGCUUCCAGAGUGGUCACAAAGUCAUCCAGGCUUUGUGGGUACCACUUCUCAAGAAUUUGUACAACCAAGGUUAAGGAGAGUAAGCAGAACAGAAUCCCCUGUAUCCUAUGUUGAAAUGAUAGAUACAGAUAGGAGGAUGGAGAACAAUGGACGGAAGUGCAAAAAAAAGUGUAAUUAUUCUGUUGUUGUA